UACAGAGGGUGCGAGCGUUAAUCGGAAUUACUGGGCGUAAAGGGCGCGUAGGCGGCCACCGCAAGUCGACUGUGAAAUCUCCGGGCUUAACUCGGAAAGGUCAGCCGAUACUGCGGGGCUAGAGUGCAGAAGGGGCAACUGGAAUUCUCGGUGUAGCGGUGAAAUGCGUAGAUAUCGAGAGGAACACCUGCGGCGAAGGCGGGUUGCUGGGCUGACACUGACGCUGAGGCGCGAAAGCUAGGGGAGCGAACGGG
rnacentral:rRNA from 1 species